rnacentral:tRNA from 1 species
GCCUGGGUGGCUAAGUCAGUUGAGUGUCUGACUUCGGCUCAGGUCAUGAUCUCACCGGUUCAUGGGUUUGAGCCCCAUUUUGGGCU